GACGAACGCUGGCGGCGUGCUUAACACAUGCAAGUCGAACGCUGAAGCUCAGCUUUUGUUGGGUGGAUGAGUGGCGAACGGGUGAGUAACACGUGAGUAACCUGCCUCCUUCUUUGGGAUAACGCCCGGAAACGGGUGCUAAUACUGGAUAUUCACUGGUCUUCGCAUGGGGGUUGGUGGAAAGGGUUUUUCUGGUGGGGGAUGGGCUCGCGGCCUAUCAGCUUGUUGGUGGGGUGAUGGCCUACCAAGGCUUUGACGGGUAGCCGGCCUGAGAGGGUGACCGGUCACAGUGGGACUGAGCUACGGCCCAGACUCCUACGGGAGGCAGCAGUGGGGAAUAUUGCACAAUGGGCGCAAGCCUGAUGCCGCGACGCCGCGUGAGGGAUGGAGGCCUUCGGGUUGUGAACCUCUUUCGCUCAUGGUCAAGCCGCAACAAUGGUUGUGGUGAGGGUAGUGGGUAAAGAAGCGCCGGCUAACUACGUG
rnacentral:rRNA from 1 species